UAGGAAACAUCUUCAGGACACGUUGGAGAC
rnacentral:piRNA from 1 species